CACUAGUGGCGCACGGGUGCGUAACGCGUAACCAACCUGCCCUUGACUGGGGGAUAGCCCGCCGAAAGGNGNAUUAAUACCGCAUAAACUCACAGUGUGGCAUCACACAAUGAGUAAAGAUUUAUUGGUCAAGGAUGGGGUUGCGUGACAUUAGCUAGUUGGCGGGGUAACGGCCCACCAAGGCGACGAUGUCUAGGGGAGCUGAGAGGCUGAUCCCCCACACUGGCACUGAGAUACGGGCCAGACUCCUACGGGAGGCAGCAGUAGGGAAUAUUGGGCAAUGGGC
rnacentral:rRNA from 1 species